rnacentral:misc_RNA from 1 species
UCCGGUUUGUCACCGGCAGUCCCAUUAGAGUGCUCAACUGAAUGUAGCAACUAAUGGCAAGGGUUGCGCUCGUUGCGGGACUUAACCCAACAUCUCACGACACGAGCUGACGACAGCCAUGCAGCACCUGUGUUCCGGUUCCCUUUCGGGCACAACCCCCUCUCAGGGGCCUUCCAGACAUGUCAAGGGUAGGUAAGGUUGUUCGCGUUGCAUCGAAUUAAUCCACAUCAUCCACCGCUUGUGCGGGUCCCCGUCAAUUCCUUUGAGUUUUAACCUUGCGGCCGUACUCCCCAGGCGGUCGACUUCACGCGUUAGCUACGGUACCAAGGAAUCGCUUCCCCAACACCUAGUCGACAUCGUUUAGGGCGUGGACUAC